UGAAUGGCGCUGUAUCUAUCCUAUAAACAUCGAACUAAUGAAAAUGUGUGGUGGUUCAUGUCUUAUUUAAUAUACAAUAUUGGAAAUUUAUCCAAUGCACAAACCAUUUCUUCUAGUUCCUCUUACAUUAGUGUAGGGGGAUUCUUCUAAAGUUCAGAGAAUGACGUUUGCAUAUAAAUACAUGUAAAAGACACUUUUAGGCUCGUCCUAUGCCUUAUUACCGAAACUUCAAGAGCUUGGUUACUCUAAAGGUCAAUUAUAUAAAUUUGAAGAGGGCGUUGAAUGUAUUGUUGAAGACUCUAACGAUGUAUAUUUGGGGCCAUUUAUAACUUUUAGAGCAGUAAUCAAAGAAAAUACUGUUUUUUAUGAGGUCAUCGAUCUACGGGGGAAUCUUUUAAUUUAUCCUGAAGUUCAUAAUCGACUUCCAUGCGUGCAACUUAUGCAUCAACCGCCGUAACAAAUAUAUACCCGAUGACGGAUUUUUGGUACAAAGGCAUUUGAUGAAUCAACACGGUUAUGAUGCAUUUGAUUUUCAAGAACUUGAAGGGGGACAAAAUACAGGAAUAGCCUUGGAAGUGAGUCCAAAAUCUCAUUGUAAGUGCAGUAUGUUCAUGUUCAGUCCAGACAAAAAAGCAGCAUUUGAGGCCCAAAAGAGCCACAAAAGAAGGUGGACCGAUUCGGAAGAAGAAGGACCUUCGAAAAAACGAGCUCGCAUGAUUAAAAAAAUUGUUGCUGUUGAUGUAUGCAGUACGUAUGACACUAUAGUACAGCAAAACCACCACAAGCACAUAACUCUUCAUAAUUAUGGAAUAAAAGAGCAACCGGAACAUCCUUGGAAAUGCAAUAUAUGUCUCAUGGAAUAUAUGGACGAUAAAGAAUUUGAAGAGCAUUCCAAAGAUCAUUUUUAGAAAUAUAUAAAAAAGUAGAAAAGAUAAAAAGAGAUUCUCACAUUUAGACCAAAGCAAAAAAAAAAUCAGAAUAGAUUUGAGUAAUUUUCUCUUAACGAAUAAAAUCCAAAAUACACGAAAGAAA